rnacentral:rRNA from 1 species
AGCGAACGCCGGCGGCAGGCCUAACACAUGCAAGUCGAACGAACCCUUCGGGGUUAGUGGCGGACGGGUGAGUAACACGUGGCAACGUGCCUUUAGGUUCGGAAUAACUCAGGGGAACUUGUGCUAAUACCGAAUGUGCCCUUCGGGGGACAGAUUUAUCGCCUUUAGAGCGGCCCGCGUCUGUUUAGCUAGUUGGUGAGGUAAUGGCUCACCAAGGCUACGAUAAGUAGCUGGUCUGCGAGGAUGACCAGCCACAUUGGGACUGAGACACGGCCCAAACUCCUACGGGAGGCAGCAGUGGGGAAUCUUGCGCAAUGGGCGAAAGCCUGACGCAGCCAUGCCGCGUGGAUGGUGAAGGUCUUAGGAUUGUAAAAUCCUUUCACCGGUGAAGAUAAUGACUGUAGCCGGAGAAGAAGCCCCGGCUAACUUCGUGCCAGCCGCCGCAGUAAAAC